ensembl:lncRNA
UUUACUUGACUGAUGUUCUCAUAAUGUUGAGUGAAAAUGUUCUAAUAACAACGUUUUUGUAACGUAUUCAUGAUGUUAUUUUUAAUUGAUUGAUGUUCUCAUAAUUUUGAGCGAAAACGUUCUCAUAACAACGUUCUUGUAAUGUCUUUAUAUUGUUAUUUUUAAUUGACUGAUGUUCUCAUAAUGUUGAGCGAAAACAUUCUCAUAACAACGUUCUUGUAACGUCUUUAUGAUGUUAUUUUUAAUUGACUGAUGUUCUCAUAAUGUUGAGGGAAAACGUUCUUGUAACGUGUUUAUGGUGUUAUUUCAUAAUGUUGAACAAUUACAUUCUUAAAACACCAUAAUUGGAAGGCCCUCAUUUUAGAAGUGAUGGGAACAGAAAUUACGAGUGUGACCAGUCCCAGACAGCAUGUAGUAAUCGGCCCGAGCUCAGCUGGCCCUCGGCUCAGACUCGGCAUCAGCGAGCGUUAUCCGGGCCGAGUGUGGCCCGCAGCUCGCUCUCGCGCAUGUGUUUGUGAUGCGCUUGUAAAGCACUGAGCCGAUUCCUGUUCACCGUAACCGACCCGCUCAGUUCAGUCAUAGAUGGUUACAUUAAUAUAGCAAUAAAUAACAUAUAACUGUUUUAAACUUGGCUUAAGAUAUUUAAAGUAUCUUAUAAUGUAAAUUAUACGUCUAAUGUCGUGAAUUUGUCAAAAACAAAUUAUCUGCGAUAAAAUGUAAAAAAAAACAAAAAAACAAAAACAAAGUGCUUUAUAGGACAGAACAUUCUCUAAUAUUUAUAACAAUAGCAAAUCUAUAUUUAUGUAACGCAGCAGGUCAUUCUUUUAUACGUUUGCUUGUAAUGAACGUGAAUCAUUGCGCUCUCAACACCUUCACUUGUGCAGCGGUCGGAGUCUCCUUAGGGCAGUUUGGAUGUAAACAAAACAAUGGAUUAUUUACCAAGAGAUAUGGAUGUAUGAACUCAUUUCGAUAAAACACUUCUGGUCUACUCUAGAGUUUUUACUCUGCAGAAAACUGACGAGCAACCCAACCCACCAACAGACGAGGAAGAUGAGGAUGAUAAUCAUAGUAGUCCAGCAUAUACAAAGAGAAAGGUCUGUUUGUAUUUUUAGCUUCCACAUUCUUAUUUUUGUAAAUGCAGUUGCAAUAAGAAAACAUAAUUUUUUCCCCAUAUUUCUUAAAGUAUGUAAGACUGAAGAUUUGUUUAAGUGGGCCAUUGUUUUCAAAUAACCUCAACUUAAUGCAUUAGCUAGUUUCAGCUAUUUUUAUGAUGAGAAUGUACUGUUACGUUAGUCAUAUAUGCAUCAGUUUGUCUGAGAUCAUCUGCAAUAUCUCUGUCCUGCUUUUACAGAUGCUAAAUAUAAGCAGACUAUACAGAUGCUCAUCUCUGCCAAAACACAUGUGACUACAACACAAACACAGCAUCACAGUUCAUCACUUUACUUAGUACUUCACUCAGGAUGUAGAGACACUCUAGACCCACACAACAAUUCGAUUAAAAAUGUAAAAUAUAUCGUUUAUUUAAUUUAAUUUUUUUUACUUAGGUUUCGCACAAAGCCGCAUUUGCUGCAGUCUCACACGUGAGGUGAAGGUUUGCGAGUUCAUUUAUGAGCUUAUAAGCACCUGAGCUAGUAAAAUACUCAAAAAAGAAUGGUCUACGAUGCUUACCAGAAGUGUUUUAUCUACAUGAGUUCAUACAUCCAUAUCUCUUGGUAAAUAAUCCAUUGUUUUGUUUGCAUCCAAACUGCCCAAACAUGGUGGACAGUAGGCUACUCGCGAGCACAGGUACGAGACCCCACCCACGCUGCGCGAGUGAAGGUGAUACAGAGCGGCAACCUCCCGCUCUCUCUCGUGAAGCCAACAAGGAAGUGACUAAAACUGCAAUUCAUCGACUGGCUGCUUGAGGCUGGCUGCAAAAGGGAGUCAGUCCAAAUGCCCAACUUUACAGCAGAAAAAAAAAACAUGUUUACAGCCUGGUUCAAAAAAUGAUUUUGGUCUAUAUAGCUAAUUUUGCCCUUCAUGACAACUGUGACGGGGGUGAAUUUUUUUAUAACUCAACCAUUUAAAUUAUAUUAAGCCUUAAAGUUCUGCA